rnacentral:rRNA from 1 species
ACGGCUCAGUAACACGUGCCCAACCUACCCUCGGGAGGGGGACACCCCCGGGAAACUGGGGCCAAUCCCCCAUAGGGGAAGGGCGCUGGAAGGCCCCCUCCCCGAAAGGACGGCGGCCGAUCCGCCGCCGCCCGCCCGAGGAUGGGGGCACGGCCCAUCAGGUAGUUGGCGGGCUAAAGGCCCGCCAAGCCGAAGACGGGUAGGGGCGGUGAGAGCCGCGAGCCCCGAGAUCGGCACUGAGACAAGGGCCGAGGCCCUACGGGGUGCAGCAGGCGCGAAUACUCCGCAAUGCGGGCAACCGCGACGGGGCUACCCCGAGUGCCGGGCGAAGAGCCCGGCUUUUGCCCGGUCUAAAAAGCCGGGAGAAUAAGCGGGGGGCAAGUCUGGUGUCAGCCGCCGCGGUAAUACCAGCUCCGCGAGUGGUCGGGGUGUUUACUGGGCUUAAAGCGCCCGUAGCCGGCCCGGCAAGUCGCUCCUGAAAUCCCAGGGCUCAACCCUGGGGCGGGGGGCGAUACUGCCGGGCUAGGGGGCGGAAGAGGCCGCCGGUACUCCGGGGGUAGGGGCGAAAUCCGUUAAUCCCCGGA